UAAAGCAAGAAAGGGCGUAUGGGGAAUGCCUAGGCACACUCCGGCGAAGAAGGACGCAGCAAACAGCGAAAUGCGACGGUGAGCGGUAAGCACGUGAAGAGCCGUCGAUAUCCGAAUGGGGGAACCCACACGGAGUCAUAUCCGUGUAUCACAUGUCGAAUACAUAGACAUGAUGAGGCGAGACGCAGGGAACUGAAACAUCUAAGUACCUGCAGGAAGAGAAAAUAAGAAUGAUUUUCUGAGUAGCGGCGAGCGAAAGGGAAAGAGCCCAAACCGAUCUGAGGAUCGGGGUAGUAGGAUCAUCGAGGAAUCUGACAGAGGAUCAUAGAGGAAUCACAUGGGAAGGUGAGCGAGAGAGGGUGAGAGCCCCGUACUCGAAAUGAGAGACUGGAGAGAGAUGACACCUGAGUAGGGCGGGACACGAGAAAUCCUGUCUGAAUCAGCCGGGACCAUCCGGCAAGGCUAAAUACGAGAGAGUGACCGAUAGUGAACCAGUACCGUGAGGGAAAGGUGAAAAGAACCCCGGGAGGGGAGUGAAAGAGAACCUGAAACCAUAUGCCUACAAGAAGUCAGAGCCCGUUAAAGGGUGAUGGCGUGCCUUUUGUAGAAUGAACCGGCGAGUUACUGUAUGGAGCGAGGUUAAGCAGGAUAUGCGGAGCCGAAGCGAAAGCGAGUCUUAAGAGGGCGCGAGUUGCAUGCAGUAGACCCGAAACCGGGUGAUCUAGCCAUGACCAGGUUGAAGUUGGGGUAAAACCCGAUGGAGGACCGAACCGACCCCCGUUGAAACGUUGGCGGAUGAGUUGUGGCUAGGGGUGAAAUUCCAAUCGAACCCGGAGAUAGCUGGUUCUCCCCGAAAUAGCUUUAGGGCUAGCGUCGAGAGAAGAGUUGCGUGAAGGUAGAGCACUGAAUAUGUGAUGGCCCCAUCUCGGGGUACUGAGCAUAAUCAAACUGCGAAUGUCACGCCAACAUGCUCGGCAGUCAGACAGCGGGUGAUAAGGUCCGUUGUCAAGAGGGAAACAGCCCAGACCAUCAGCUAAGGUCCCAAAAUGUAUGCUAAGUGGAAAAGGAUGUGGAGAUGUACAGACAACUAGGAGGUUGGCUCAGAAGCAGCCAUCCUUUAAAGAGUGCGUAACAGCUCACUAGUCGAAUGACUCUGCGCCGAUAAUUUACCGGGGCUAAGCAUACUACCGAAGCUAUGGAUCCCAAGGGAUGGUAGGGGAGCGUUCCAUGAACGGAGAAGUACGACCGAAAGGACGUGUGGAGAUCAUGGAAGAGAGAAUGCCGGUGUGAGUAGCGGAACGUGGGUGAGAAUCCCACGCACCGAAAACCCAAGGUUUCCAGAGGAAGGUUCGUCCGCUCUGGGUAAGUCGGGACCUAAGGCGAGGCCGAAAGGCGUAGUCGAUGGACAACAGGUAGAGAUUCCUGUACCCGUAUAUAUGUGAAGGAAUGACGGAGAGAGGAAGCUGCAGCCAGCGGCUGGAAGAGCUGGUGCAAGCGAGAUAUCGGGAUGGCAGGCAAAUCCACCAUCCGAAACGAGAAGGCGUGAAGCGUACGGAAAGCUACGGCGAGUACGGAAGGCAGUGGAGGAACUUCCAAGAAAAGUUUCUAACGUUAAGUAUAUAUGGCCCGUACCGAAAAUGGACACACAUGGGUGAGGAGAGAAUCCUAAGGUGAGCGAGAGAACUAUAGCUAAGGAACUCUGCAAAAUGACUCCGUAACUUAGGGAGAAGGAGUGCUCAUAGAGAUAUGAGCCGCAGUGAAACGGCCCAAGCGACUGUUUACCAAAAACACAGCUCUCUGCUAAGCCGCAAGGCGAAGUAUAGGGGGUGACGCCUGCCCGGUGCUGGAAGGUUAAGGGGAGGGGUUAACGCAAGUGAAGCCCUGAACUGAAGCCCCAGUAAACGGCGGCCGUAACUAUAACGGUCCUAAGGUAGCGAAAUUCCUUGUCAGGUAAGUUCUGACCCGC
rnacentral:rRNA from 1 species